ACUGUGGGUAGGGGUGAAAGGCCAAUCAAACUAGGAGAUAGCUCGUACUCCCCGAAAUGCUUUUAGGAGCAGCGUGAAUUAAUAGUCUAGCAGAGGUAGAGCUACCGAUUGGACUAGGGGGAGUCAAAUCCUACCAACUCCAGACGAACUCCGAAUGCUGCUAGAUGUUUAUUUGCAGUGAGGGCAUGGGUGCUAAGGUCCAUGUCCAAGAGGGAAACAACCCGGAUCCUCAGCUAAGGUCCCUAAAUCUAUACUAAGUUGAUCUAAGGUAGUUCAAUUACUCAGACAGCCAGGAUGUUGGCUUGGAAGCAGCCAUUCAUUUAAAGAGUGCGUAACAGCUCACUGGUCGAGCGAUAGAGCAUCAAUGAUAAUCGGGCAUAAAGUAUAGUACCGAAGCUAGGAACUCUACGGAGUGGUAGGGGAGCAUUCUAUUUGCAUCGAAGAAAAAUUGUAAGGUUUUUUGGAGCGUAUAGAAUAGAAAAUGUAGGCAUAAGUAACGAUAAUGCAGGUGAGAAACCUGCACACCGAAAGACUAAGGUUUCCUGAACAACGCUAAUCGGUUCAGGGUUAGUCGGGACCUAAGGCAAACCCGAAAGGGGUAGUCGAUGGACAAUCGGUUAAUAUUCCGAUACUACCUUUAUCAGUGAUGGAGUGACGAAGUAGUGAAAGAUCCGCGUACUGACGGAAUAGUACGUUGAAGCGAGUAGGUAUAAGUUUUGUUGGCAAAUCCGCAAGACUUGCUGAACGUGAUAGUACCACAAACCUUCGGGCGAGUGGAUAGUGAUCCUAAUCAGACUUCCAAGAAAAACUUCUAAACUUAUGAUAUAGGUACCCGUACCGUAAACCGACACAGGUAGUCGAGGAGAGAAUCCUAAGGUGCUCGAGUGAUUCAUGGCCAAGGAACUAGGCAAAAUAGUCCUGUAACUUCGGGAGAAAGGACGCCUCCCUCUUCGGAGGAGGCCGCAGUGAAUAGGCCCAGGCGACUGUUUAUCAAAAACACAUGGCAUUGCAAAUUCGAAAGAAAAAGUAUAAUGCCUGACACCUGCCCGGUGCUGGAAGGUUAAGGAGAGAUGUUAGAAACUUGUUUCAAAGCAUUGAACUGAAGCCCCAGUAAACGGCGGCCGUAACUAUAACGGUCCUAAGGUAGCGAAAUUCCUUGUCGGGUAAGUUCCGACCUGCACGAAUGGUGUAACGAUCUGGGCACUGUCUCAGCCAUGAGCUCGGUGAAAUUGUAGUAUCGGUGAAGAUGCCGAUUACCCGCAACGGGACGGAAAGACCCCGUGAACCUUCACUACAACUUAACAUUGAUUUCGGAUAAAUGAUGUGUAGAAUAGGUGGAAGACUUUGAAGCGGUUUCGUUAGGAAUCGUGGAGUCAACAAGUGAAAUACCACCCUUUAUUUGUUGGGAAUCUAAUCCUUUUAGGAGACAGUGUUUGGUGGGUAGUUUGACUGGGGUGGUCGCCUCCAAAAGAGUAACGGAGGCUCCCAAAGGUACCCUCAGCACGCUUGGUAACCGUGCGUAGAGUGUAAUGGCACAAGGGUGCUUAACUGAGAGACUUACAAGUCGAACAGAGACGAAAGUCGGGCAUAGUGAUCCGGUGGUUCCGCAUGGAAGGGCCAUCGCUCAAAGGAUAAAAGGUACUCCGGGGAUAACAGGCUGAUC
rnacentral:rRNA from 1 species